rnacentral:lncRNA from 1 species
ACCGAGAUCAAGAUCAAGGAGGAGUUGUUGUAGUUGUCAUCGAUGACAAGAAAAAAAUGACAAGGAGCAUCCCUUCCAUGAAGUCUAGAUGUAGGAGCAAACCAAGUCACUCAUCAAGAUCUGAGAGCAAAGAAAACUAGUCAGAAACCAUCUCUGGGCAAAGUCAGGUGGUUCGACCGUGAGAUAGAAAAAUCAUCUCUGGGCAAAGUCAGGUGGUUCGACCGUGAGACAGAAAAAUAAAUAUUUUUCUAUCUUUAAUUUUGAUUUAGCAAGAGUUAAAUCCCAUAAACAAGAAAGUUUUGAUCUAAAAGAAUCCUUAGCCUCG